GUGGGGAAUCUUCCGCAAUGGGCGAAAGCCUGACGGAGCAACGCCGCGUGAGUGAUGAAGGCCUUCGGGCUGUAAAACUCUGUUGUCAGGGACGAAGGUGCAUCUUUCGAACAGAUGGGUGUAUUGACGGUACCUGACGAGGAAGCCACGGCUAACUACGUGCCAGCAGCCGCGGUAAUACGUAGGUGGCAAGCGUUGUCCGGAAUUAUUGGGCGUAAAGAGCAUGUAGGCGGGCUUUUAAGUCCGGCGUGAAAAUGCGGGGCUCAACCCCGUAUGGCGGUGGAAACUGGAAGUCUUGAGUGCAGGAGAGGAAAGGGGAAUUCCCAGUGUAGCGGUGAAAUGCGUAGAUAUUGGGAGGAACACCAGUGGCGAAGGCGCCUUUCUGGACUGUGUCUGACGCUCAGAUGCGAAAGCCAGGGUAGCAAACGGGAUUAGAAACCCGAGUAGUCC
rnacentral:rRNA from 1 species